GCAGAGAACAGGGAGUGUUUUAAAGCUGUAGUUGGCAGAAGUAGACAAGCCACUUGGAAAAACCUCUGACUGUAAGGCUCCGGAGCAAGAAGCCAGCAGGGGCUGGGGAACUUGGUUCAUCUGUCUGUCCAUCCAUCCAUCCAUCGAUCCCCAAUCUUUGAGGAGAGAUCAAGAACACUGGGACAUUCUGCUGGCCUGUCUGCUCGGAAGCUGCCACCUGUCUUCCAGCUGUCUGGGACUGUCUGCUGGAGCAAGUGACAUCACAGUGACCAGAAACCACCUCCCCUUUGUCUGGAGCAGUUAUGAUGUCAUUCCCUCUGGCAGAGAAGCAAGAUGUUGGCAGCUGGGAUUCCUCUGGGUCCUCCUGAAGUGAUAAUUGCCUUAGAUUUUGUUAUAAAGUGCAGCUGCUAAUUAUCUUGUUAAAUCACAGCCAUAUACUUUUUGGAAUUUUUUUUUUCCUUUGCAAUCCAUUUAAACAGUCGGAGAGAUUAAAUAAAACCACAUACCCUAAACAAAAACAAAAACAACCCAGACGCGCACACAAAAAUUGCUUCUUCUUUCAAACACCGUAAAAAUAAUUAAAAAAAAAUGAAAAGGACACAGAUAUGGCAUAAUUAGAUUGCUUCCAUUAAAAAGUCGUCAUUUCAACAUCUUCAUAUAAAUAUCUGCAUCCCAUUGCAUAUUUUAAGCAAUUGCAUAAUAAGCCCCCAAGUGAAAAAGAGAGCAAAACUCAUUUCCUGACCACGAAAGGAGAAAGGAAUCACCAUGUGCGCUGAGUUCCAGGGAGAACUGGAUUACAUUCUUCCCACACAGACUGGAAGGAGAUGGAGUUCAUUGCUCCAGGGCAGAGAAUUAUGACAACACUUAACUGCUGGGACCCUGGCGGCUGCGCGCUGCUCCGUGCCUCUGCAGGCCAUUGGCCAUUAGAAGCGUGCACCUCCCACCGAGGUCAGAGGGAGGAAGAGGAGGACCUGGCCCCCUCCAUUUGGAGAACCUGCCCUGGGUACCAGCAGCAACAGACUCUUGCUCUUGGGACACGCCUCUCAGAACCCAGCCACCAUGCUGUGGGGAAGCCCAAGCCACACGGAGGUGCUCCAGCUGACAGCCCCAGCUGUGCUGCUGCUGGUUGACAGCCAGCAUCAACCACCAGCCCUGUGUGUGUGCCAUCUUGGAUGUCCAGCCCAGUCCAGCCUACAGCUGUAGCCACUAGAGAGACCUCGAGAACUAUCUAGGUGAGUCCAGUCA